rnacentral:tRNA from 1 species
AAAAUUCUAGUUAAAAUUAACAUCAUCUUGUCAAGAUGAAAUUACCUAUUAGGUGAAUUUUA